rnacentral:lncRNA from 1 species
GCAAACAAACUGGAGUUAAACGGCAAAGCCGGGGAUUUAAAAGACCACAAGUCACGUGCACAUUACAAUGGUGGAGCAGGAGAAAUCCUAAUACUGUCUUCGUGAGAACGCCCUUCUGGAUAUUUUGAAAUAUGUACCGAACUUGUUUAAAACGUGGUCUAGUCAGCAGAAAUCAUUAAUACAUCUGUAUCGCACCCAAUGCUCCCUCCAAUUUUGAAGCUUAUAUAACCAUAGUUUCCGUAAAACUCAAACACAAACACAAACACAAAAACACUAAUGGAUAAGACAAUGACAUUACUCUUGUUCUUCUUGUCAACCACUCUUCUCCUCACGGCCUCUUUAGCUAAAGAUCUCUGCCACAAAGAUGACAAAAUCACCCUCCUCAAAAUCAAGAAAUCGCUAAACAACCCUUACCACCUCGCCUCAUGGGAUCCCAAAACCGACUGCUGCUCUUGGUACUGCCUUGAGUGCGGUGACGCCACUGUUAACCACCGCGUCACCUCUUUGUUCAUACAAGACGGUGAGAUCUCCGGUCAGAUCCCCCCUGAAGUGGGUGACUUACCGUAUUUGAAGUCCCUCAUCUUCCGCAAACUCACUAACCUCACUGGUCACAUUCAACCCACUAUCGCCAAGCUCAAGAAUCUCACUUUUCUCAGACUAAGCUGGACAAAUCUGACCGGUCCAAUUCCUGAGUUUCUG